AUUGAACGCUGGCGGCAGGCCUUACACAUGCAAGUCGAACGGAGUGGCGAACGGGUGAGUAAUGUAUCGGAACGUGCCCAGUAGCGGGGGAUAACUACCCGAAAGCGUAGCUAAUACCGCAUACUAUCGGAGCGGCCGAUAUCGGAUUAGCUAGUUGGUGGGGUAACGGCUCACCAAGGGGACGAUCCGUAGCUGGUUUGAGAGGACGACCAGCCACACUGGAACUGAGACACGGCCCAGACGCCUACGGGAGGCAGUAGUGGGGAAUUUUGGACAAUGGGGGAAAGCCUGAUGCAGCCAUGCCGCGUGUGCGAUGAAGGCCUUCGGGUUGUAAAGCACUUUUGGCAGGAAGGCGGUACCUGCAGAAUAAGCACCGGCUAACUACGUGCCAGCAGCCGCGGUAAUAC
rnacentral:rRNA from 1 species